UCAGUCGUCACGGCAGAGACCACAACCACCAUGACUCUCAUCACCAUCCUCAUGUGGACACUGACCUGCUGCUGCUGCUGCUGCUUCACAGGAUGCAGUGGUCAGGUGACUGUGACUCAGCCUCCUGUGGUGACAACUACUCCAGGAUCCACUGUCACUCUCACCUGUAAAACCAACCCUGCUACUUAUUCCAAUUGUGGCGACAGUAGGCCAUGUAUGUUCUGGUACCAACAGAAACCUGGACAGACUCCAAAGCUCCUGAUAAGACAUGUGAACGUCGCACAUUCAGGAACACCUGCUCGGUUUAGUGGCAGUGGAAGCAACUCUGACUUCUCAUUGACCAUCAGUGGAGUUCAGACUGAAGAUGCUGCAGUGUACCACUGCAUGGGUGUGCACCAAGUAGGCAGUAAUCGGCCGUGCACACAGUGAAUUGUCGUCGUACAAAAACCUAUGAAAGUGCAGAGACACUGAGCUGUUACAACAGGAUGAGACCGAGACACA